CCGGCCCAAAUUGGCUUUCAUGAAUAACCUAGGUCGUUUUGUCCCCAGCCUCACCUAUUCGCUCCCACGCCGGCCGCCGCCCCUCGCGGCUGUGACCAACCUCCAUCCCGGCGCGCCGCCCUUCUUCACUCCGCUGCGGUCCUCCAUCCCGGCGGCCGCCAGCACCACUCCCCUGCAACACUGCAUCCCAGUGCGCCGCCCCUCGUCACCACUCCCCUAUGGUCCUCUCCUCCGUCCCGGCGCGCCGCCAGCACCACUCCCCUGCGACUCUGCAUCCCGGCGCGCCGCCCCUCGUCACCCCUCCCCUGCGACCAUUGGUGAAUCCAAGGAACAAAUGUUUGAGCCCUAGGUACGCAGAGAAGGUGGCGGCCAAAGAGUUUGAUUUGUUUAUCUGGUGUUCCUGCAUGACGGUCUUGACUCUUGAGAGCUGAGAAGAUCCGUUUGGGCUUAAGAAAAUUCUGCAGUUGUUUCUGCACCCGAGUUCAUGGUCACGGUCUCAUGGAGUCCAAUGGAAUAAUGUUGGAAGCCCAUGGUGUCCAUUGAAUUUUUUUCACCUGCUACUAGCUGGAUUCCAAGCAUUGUAGAUACUUUGUUUUCACCCUCAUAAAGCUGAUGAAUGUGAAUGAAGAUUAUGGAGAACUUUCUUCAGUAGCAAGGCCGACAAAUUUCAUAGUGCAGGCAGGGGUUUGGAAGUACAUGCCGCAGUAUAUAUGGUGGAAGGAUGGAAGGCUGCAUGCCUCCCCUAUCUUUCCAUGGUACAGAGAAAUGCAAUCGCAAUCAAGCACUAAAUAUGUUGCAAUGGACAUGACCCCAAAACUUUCUCCCUCUCUUUUAUUUGAGGCACACUUUACGCUGCUCGGUCGACUAGGCCGUCGCGACGCUGUGGGAGAAGGACAUCGGUGCAGAGCAUGGCAAAGCUGAGUACUUGUUGGAUCUGAGGACUUCUGAUCCACAGUUCUCCGCAUUAUCAUCCAUCAGCAUCUGGUGACAUUAGCACUCAGCUGCAUAAGGCUUUCUCCCCACUACAGUUGGAGUUCAAGAGCGAAAGGAAGGUAAUCUGGUGAUCAAUCACUGUUGCUUGUCACAAUCUGAAAAAUAUUAUUGAGUACAUCUACCACGAGCUAUGCUUGCCAUUUAAAAAGAUGUUUAUGUGAGCUGCAUGUCAUAUAAUUUUUUUUAUGCAAGCAGAUCCUGCGAUUUACUUAUGAUUUAUGAACAGAAAUUGUUCACUGCAUAACCCCUAAAUACAGUAGAAGGGAAACAAAUCUUAUAAAACUACGCUGAGACAAGUAGUACUUAUUGAGUCAAGUAACAUGUUAGAUAAAAUUCCACACCUAUUACGACUUAUCUGACUUCUGUAUUUUUUAAAGAUAACUGAACUAGUUUGUGUUCCAGGAAUACAAAACCAUGGGUGUUGUCCAUUUAUUCACUUGGCUUUUGGAAUUUGAUUGAUGUCCCCUUCUCCUAUUAUUAACAACAUAUACCUACACGGUUCUGUUUGCUGGUUCGUGCUUCCUCUUUAUACUAUGCUUGCCUACAUACGUAGUCUCACUCCUUUAUUCUCUUGAUGUGCUUUUUCUUUAUAAGGAAGAAUACACACCAUGGGGAAAAGAGAAGUAAAUUUGUAGCCUAUGGCCGGAAAGUGCUAUUGUGAUCCCGAGCACCUGUAAGAAAACCACAGCAAGAGUUUUCCCUUGAAAGAAAAAAAAGACGUAUAUACAAUGCAGGGGUCACCUCCGUCAGCUACAACUUAUGGAUCCGUCCACCUAAGUUCUCUCAAAAGAAAAAAAAGUUUUGAACUACUAUCUGAACAUUACCAGAUACAUGCGUACACCUGUUUCGGUGGUGUUAAUGAAAGUACCAUUAAUAUUCUGGACCAUUCAGCAAGCAGAAUCCUCAUAUUCUAUUUUCCAGACAGAUUCAGAGCACGCAUCACACAAGCAAGAUUCAGAGCACGCAUCACACAAGCAAAAUUCAGAGCAGCUAAAUGAAUCAUCGAUCACACACACGCAUGGGAAAACAGUUUCAUAUUACACUGCAGAACGGACUAGGUUUAUUCAGUAAACUGCAUUCAAUCAAGUUUGCAAUAAUAUAGUCUGGGCUACCAAUCUAAACAUCCACUGGCUCACAGUUCACAUACCUGCUAGAAAAAUUCAAUACUCCAACAUGACUGAAAAUGUCCUCUUUCACCAUGAGCUACAGAUUACAUCAACCAUGUAUAUCAAUCAGUUGUUAUUCAGUCGUAGCUCUACUGCUUUGUUGCAGUUGUUUCAGCGGCGAUCUUCUUUAUGACAACCUCCGUUGCAAGAUUCUGGUCUACACAAAUCAUUUGAAACAAAAGAAAACAGUUUCAGCACAUUCCCAAGCAUCCAUACAAAUUAGAUAAAGUGUUUUAGUACAGAAACAUGCGAACGUGUUAGAAUUGUUUUUGGUGUACCGACCAUCAUCCUAAUGAACUUGGCAAGAACCCACUCAAAGCUUUCAGCCUUCUUAUCAUGGACCAAUACCCCUGCCAAGAUUAUGCUAGGAAAAUGAUUGUUCACCCCAACAAACAUCCAAAAGGGCAUGUCACAUAGAUUUGUCCGGUAGAUAACGUCACAACAUCACCAAAAAAGGUGUAUUGCAAUCUACUGCUCCCAUUCGCCCACAUCAGCAGGCAGACAGUGUAUUGUUUGCCCGUAAGAGGGAGACAAUGAAUGGUUUUGCUGCUCACGAUGCUCUGCUAUGUAACACCCACUACCUUUUGAACGCAACAGCCUUAUCAGAGCAGGGCACUCACAUCAGCAAGAUCGUGUUCUCGACAAUAGGUUUCUCUGGAACACAUUUAGUAAGCACAACUCAGAUCACGCACAACUUAUUCAAGAAUCAUGUAAGCAUAAAGGAAUUGAUGUUUACGUACCGCGCAACCGCACACUAUUUCUUGAAUGCAUUUUGUCCUCUCCACAUUUAGCCGGCUUUUUCCGUAUCUAAUGCCGAAUCCUUUCUCCCAGGAAUAAAGGUUGUAAAAAUCGUAGGUUUCACCUAAAGCAUCAAAGCUUGUCCCCAGCUUGGGCACAAUGACAUAGCCUCCAUUUAUUUUCUACAAGACCAUGAAUCGCCUUCUCUAGAGAAGUAGUCCGAUAUGGACAUGGCAUCCUGCCUUGUGCAGCCGCGCCAAUCCUCACUCUGCAUGCAAAAACAUGACACCACUUUCAGUUUCCUUGCUCCAUUUUCGUAGUCUACUCCUAACCAACUGAAACGACCACUGAGCAAUUUUUUCAAUGAAAGUGCACAACCUUUUCUUUUCAUAUAUGUCUGCUCCCAAGUGUCUCUUCAAUUAUUAAUCUGGUUUACGUGGGUACUGAACUUCAGAAUUUUUUAACUGACAAACACCAAUAUUGCAACAAUUUUUAAAUUGAAGAACUACUACUUUUUUUAUGAUUCUACUACUAGUUCAUAUUUCUGAACUAACCAACCACUUUUCACUUUUCCGAGCUAUUCUAAAUAUGACAAACUCUAAUCAGGUUUAUGAUUCACGGCUGGGGGACUCAACUUUACAACUUUCCACCGACCAACACUAAUAUUGCUAUAAGUUUUAAGCUGAUGAGCUACUACUUUUUUCUGAUGAUUCUACUAAUUUCUAUUUCUGAAGUAACCAACCACAUUUCACUUUUCCUACUAUUCUAAAUAUGACGAAUUACAUACCGUCGAGUCCAUCGAUCUGCUCAAUUGACUCCUCUGAAGGUUGAGGGGAAGCUUCAGUUUGAGCAUCUGCCGGCCCAUGCAGCACACAGAUCUGCCACACAGCGCUGCCCCCUGCCAUAGGCAGCAGCUCCUCCGCCACCGGCGCGGCGGUGCCAUCGCUGGGUACUGGACUACUGGAGAGGCUCCAUCGGAUUUCGUUGUCAUUAGCCUCCUCCGGGAUUGUUCUUCUGUUCAUCCAAGAAAAAGAGGUCAAAUCACAAGAUUAGAUCUUUUGGAUUCGCUCCCAAACACAGAAUGGCAACACAGAUAAGUGAACGAGAUUUCUACCUCUUAAUCGGCUGCAUCAAAAAUUAAAUCUUCAGUUGCUAGCCUUCUCUCCUGCGUAUGCAAGCAAUGGAAGGAACCAGACACUUGAGGUAGGUGACAACAGCACGAACUGACCAAUCUCGCAUUUACUAGGCCGCUGGCGAACUAACGAGAAACAAUGUUUUAUUGGCCCACGGAUCAGGAUGUACUGACGUCCCGAGCCACGGCUCCCCUCCAAACCGUCGACGGCGUCCCUCGCCCGUAACUUACCUCGCCCAUCGUACAGGGUUCACGGCUCGCACAGGAAUUCAAUGCACCACAUCCCGAUGCUACACGCAACAGCUGAGAUAACGAGCGCCUGUGUGCUCGGGUUCACAAACUCCGCGUCCCCUAUGGCCACUUUAUAUAUACUUCCAUGUUUCUGAUUCAUCAGGAGGUCAUGUACUGAUGGAUUGCAAAAAGAAAAAAGAAAAAUAAUGUCAAUUGUUUCUAUAUCACUUUAAUAGGCACGGUUCAUCUGUAGUGUCCUUCAAUUAUUAGACCACAUUCAAUAUUAUUUUAUGGAUGCCUGCAACUUCCAAUUAAAUAUAUCACCAUAUAUCUAUCUGAUUUGUAUUUGUAGUCUACAAACAAGACAUCCUAAUUAUUUGUUCGAACAUACUACAGUCUUGUUUUCUCUGCUGUGUCUUCUCCUUUGCUUAAUAGUGUCACUGCCUUUGAUUUAUCUGCUCAGAUGUGUUAGUUAAGAGUUUGAUCUAGAUAUAUACUAGCUAUUUUAUUAGGAGUUGAUGGCAAAUAUGAACUAAUGGUUGAUCCGCCCUGCUGUCCUCGCUGCACUGCAUGCAAAAUCAUUGGGUCGGUACUGGGAGUACCUCAUUUAUGAUGGAUCUUAUGCUUCAAGCUUCUUUUUAUUGUCUAAUAUGUUUUACUGUACUAAUUUGGUAAACAUACUGCUUCAGUAUCUUCCAGUAGGUGCCUCAGAAUUAUGCAGUUUAUCAUACCAUACUGCUACUCAAAUGAAAAUGUCUAUCUUUGUGUUCUACACUGAAGGUAUCAUAUGAAGUUUAAUUAUUUUAAGCGUUCAUCACCAAAACUACUUUGUUUGUAGUGAAAGGCUUCAUAAAAUUUCAUAGACGUUGCACAUCAUGAGACUAACAUAUAGUAGAGGAAAAGAUGCAACCACGACAUGUCUUGGCCUCUCAACCUUUUCUGUUAUAUGUCACGUUUCUAUUAAUUAUUUUGCUUGACAUGAUUCUGCCAAUGGUAACUUUGAUUUUCUCUAACAGGAAGGAACAUAAGUAUUUUUAAUGAGCCUAAAAAAUCAUAACAGAAACAUAGCUCUUGCUACAGUUGUAAGUUGUGAUCCUAAAUUUGAACUUGAUGGUGCUGAAAUUACUAAUGAAUUCUGGGUAGUGCAUGUCGAUAUGACACUUGUGAAAACUGAAGAUUAGGUACAGAUCCCAAAAACUGCAACUCUUGGUAAUGCAGAUUUGUUUUUGCAUGUCAACCUUUGUAAGUGACUAAUAUCCUGCCUCUAUCAGUACUUGGAUCAUGUCAAUGCAUUGUGUGUUAACAGUUCAUUCUGUUUUUUUUGUUUGUAGAUUCAAAAGAUAAAUGGAUAAUUCUAUGGGUGUGUGUGGCAAGUAUAGUACAAUGAUGAUGAUGAUGAUGUUCCUGUUCAUGAUGAUGAAGACGAAUGGUUUCCAUUUUAAUUAAGUUGUAGGGAUGAUGUUCCUGUUGGACGAUGUUUGUCGAUUGUGUUUUAGUUAAGUUGUAGGGAUGUUGUGGAUGCUUUCAAUUUAAAUUUUGUUGUCAAGAAAAUAUUUAGAUUAUAUAUCCAUUUGGAUGAUUUUCCUUGUGUAAUAUCCACUAUUGUAAUCCAACAAUUUUAUCUAAUAUAUGAUUCUUCCUCC